UUUCUUUCUGAUAUAGUAUACUGCUUUCUCUUAAGUGAGCACGUGGUAAAGCCGUUAGAGAAAAUACUCUUUAAUGUCCGUCUCUAGGUGUGAUGUCCAAGGCGCUAGCGAAGGAGAGCCACGCAGCAGGCCAGCGAGAGGAUUGCAAGGGCGGCUCCAGAAGGAGGAGCUGGGGCCUGUUGGUCACUGCUGGUGUUGGUGGGACCUUGGUGGCACUGUAUGCUGUGGUCACCCCCUUCGUGACCCCGGCUCUGAGGAAAGUGUGCCUGCCCUUCGUUCCUGCAACUUCCACUCAGAUCCAGAAUGUGCUGAAAAUGUUAGAAAACAGAAGCGGCUCCCUAGUUGACAUUGGUAGCGGGGAUGGCCGUAUUGUCAUAGCAGCUGCAAAAAGGGGAUUCAAAGCUGUUGGUUAUGAAUUAAAUCCCUGGCUAGUCUGGUACUCCAGAUACCGUGCCUGGAGGGAUGGGGUGCAUCAGAACACCAAGUUUUAUAUUUCAGACUUAUGGAAGGUUUCUUUUUCCCGUUAUACGAAUGUUGUUGUUUUUGGGGUACCUCAAAUGAUGCCACAGUUGGAGAAGAAGCUGGAAGAAGAACUUCAAUGUAAUGCCAGAAUCAUUGCUUGUCGUUUUCCUUUCCCUUGCUGGAUCCCAGAUCAUACUGCUGGAGAGGGAAUAGACACUGUGUGGGCCUACGAUUUGAAACAUCGCAGAGGAUGUGAAACAAAAAGCUUGGAAAUUACACCAGAGACAGAAUCCUAAACAUCUAAUUUGCUUUUGUACUGAAAUUUUUGGCUUUGACUUCACCUGUUAGAGAUAAGAUUAAUGUGAAUAGAGCCCCAGGAUAUGGAGAUACAUAUUCAUUAAAAUAACUGAAGUACACUGGUUAUCUGAAAGCACACAAAGGUGUAGUGAAAUGGCUUAAUGUAGUUAGUAAAAAUUAUGAGAAAGUUUUACAGAAGCGGAAAACUUUAAUAUGGAAAAUGGGAUAAAACACGGUUCACUACUGUUAAGGGGAAUACAUGUAUAAGUUAAAAUGCUCAAAUUGGCGAACCUAAUAUGUGCAUUCUUUCUGAGCCUACAUAGCAUUUGUUAUUGGUGUUGGAGUGGUGUGCAAGUGGCUUCUCAAAUGAGCCGUGGUUCCCAAAUGUCUUCAUUAUGUAUGCCAAGUAGGCAUAAUGCUGCAUACAUCAAACUGAUGCAGAUUCAGUAUGAUGAUGAUACCGACGUUCUACACCUCAGCCUUGAAUGUGUACUUUUUAAAGUUGAAUAUGGCACAAGAAGCAAAUAUAACAAGUUGCUUAUUCAUUAACACAAGCGCAGCCCUUGAUUACAAUAAUGUAUUUUUAUUUAACUUGUUAUGUGAGGACCAAACUGCAGAAAUGUGCUCUUACUGAACACUUACUGGUAUAACCCUUUGCAAAUGACCAUGAUUUUUCCUAACCUCUCUGAUUUAGGAAGGGUUUCAAAAGUCACCUACCUGGCAGUGAAGUGUCACUGCUUCUGUGUGCUCAAACCUUGGAUAAGGUAUAGGUGAGAGUUGCUUGCUUGAAUAUGUCAUGAAGUCUGUCUCUGAUUUCAAAGUUAGUUGGUCUGGCUAGCUUGGUUAAAUCUGAUUAGACCUCAUUUAAUUUAUAGUAAGAUGGGAAGGGAGGUUUUCAGUCGGGUUUCUUUUCCCCUGUACUUUUCUAUGCCAUCUGAUGAGAUCUCAGAAACUCACAGCAUUGCUGCAUGGUUUUUCCUUGGAAGCGAAGCAAGUUUUCCCUGUCUUUUUGCUGAUACUGGUUUGCAGGGGGGUACUGUCACUGCUGUGACAUUUUCUGUUCCUAACACGGUUACAGCACUUUUCUAUUUUUUUAACAGUCUGCUUACUUGGUCUUUCCUUUGGUUCCCAGGUAAAGUUUUACUGUUUUGAUCCAUUAAUGAUUAGGCAAAGUUCAUAGUUAGCCUCCCCAGCCCCAGUUAACAUAUAGACUGUUUGUUAAGCAGUGACUACGUAAGUUUGUCAGGCCUUUGCAUAUAUGAUACCUAUAGUCCGAAGCCAAAACAGGCUAGGAAAUUGUCACCUGACUUCUAAGGCAGUCAUUAGUACAACUAAAAUUAACUCAGGCCAAGAGAAGUGCUGAGAACCUGCAAUUUCAGGUAAAUACAAAGCCUGUAACAUUUUAUUAGGCAUUGGGAAAGUGCGUUUGCUGGACUAUAGUAUCUGACUUGAAGAGAAGUUAGAUGUUAUUUGGGAUGUGUAGUCUACAGUUACACCUGUACCCAGGCUUUUUAUUUUUGGUGGGAGGAGAGAAGAAGAAUUUGAAAUAAAAAUCUACACUGAGGAUUUGAAAUGGAGCAGUGGAAUGGUUUUAUCCUGAUAAUGCAUACAAAGCAAGAGAAGAAAGGGGCAAAUGUAUCUGCUCUGGAGUCUGCAAAGGAGAGCUGAUUUCAGCCUCGCAUGGCAAGGCACAGCUGUAAACAUGGAGACUGUAUGUGUUGAAGAACACUGAUGUCUGGAACUGCUUAAACAUAAUAUUUACAUUUUCAAAACACCUGAUCAUCUGCCACUGAAGCCUGUCUAAAAAGCCAACGGACCCUGUGAAACUUCUUAAUGCUGUAAUGUCUGCAGCUGUCUGUGCCAGAACUCUGGUUCAGAUGAGUAGAAAUGUGCCCAGCUCUUGCAUAAGCUCUCUUGAUUCUUGAUUUCUUGAAUGAAAAUGGAAGUGUGAGGAGAGGACACAAAAUGAAUGAUAAAAACUUGAGAAUCAGUGUAAGUUCUGGGAGAGAAAAAUGUGAGUGGUGGGGAAUAUAGCCAAAAUCUAAGGGGCCUUCUCUGUCACUCUCACUGUGGCCCCUAAGGUUUGAUUCUGGUUUUUUGUUUGUUUUUUUUUUUCCCCUAAGACUAUGUAGCUGCUCUUGAAAGUGUGUUUGUUUUUCUGUCUUUCCUAUUGUUUCUUCAAGCUCUUCGGAGUGUACAUAAAUCAAAAUAAUUUAUAUGUCCAAAUGUACCAUUCCUUAAAUUGUCUAUAGGGACCCUCAUCUGUGUUCAUGUAUAGUUUAUUGCUUCCUUUUUUUUUUUUUUUCAGCACACAUAGAAGCUAAACUUACACUCUGACUACCUUUAUGCUCAAUGCAUAAAUAAGCUUCAUGGGUGUGAUCAAUACCAAUUAAGUUUAUUUGCAAACACAGAUCUUGCACUGAAGCAAUUUUAAAAAGAUUUUGAGCAGGAAUGGGACAAGUAAUGGUCAUGAUGUGAAAAUACUAACGUUACUUAAGGAUGGUAGAGUCUCCUGCCAUUGAGGUACUUUUAAUUUUGGUUGUCAGUCUGAUGUGUCAAGCAAAGCCAGGAAUGAUAGACUAGUAGCAAAGCAGAACUGUUGGGUGGUAUUUUGAAAGAAAUUUAUUUUCUAACACUAUCAUCAGAGGCUUCCUUCUGGUUUCAUCUAAAUUGUUAAGUACUGUUAUUGUUCUGGUAAAGAGUAUGUUGGUGGGAGAGUAUGAUUGCCUGAGCUAAUACAACUAGUGAGCAUCUUGAAGUGUUUAUUCUAUAGUACUUCCAGAUAAUUUCUUUAUCCUUUCCUCUUCCCCCGCCCCCCCUUUAGAGUGACAACAUUACAGACUUAAAAUGGGAACUACAUUUAUCACCCUUAGAAAUUAAAGAUUAGGAAACAGCUUCUAAUAUGAAAAAAGUUGCCGGCUUCAGCAACUGGAUCUUAUUUACCAGAGCAUGUUAAGUAUAAUGUAGGUCAGAUCCAUACUGACUUAACAGGACAGUUUAAGUUUUGUAAGAAAAAGUUAGCACUUCUUGUGAGUCUCCUGAACGUGCAAUCUGAAUUCAGUUGUUUGCUGCUUCUAAUAAAAAUGCUGAUCAAACAGCACUUAGGAUUAUUUCUCUGCUGCAUAAAAUUAGGCAUUCUAAGCACUUUCCAGGAAACAGGAAACCUGGACACUGGAUCUUCCAUGAGGCUUUGUGGUUUUUUCGUGUUUUUCUGUACUUUGGGUGAUUGUGAAAAUCAGAUGAUUGGAGUGGGGACUUUUGCCUGCUUGGGUGAUACUUACAUGUGUAAGGACAAAUUACAGGUUGCAACAUACCUUUAAUCCCUUCCAGGGUAACUAAUCAAAAGUGAUCCUUUCUCUGGUAUUGUUUUAAUCUGACUCUGGUAUAAUUUUCAUUUCCACAGGUGUAAAACUAGAUGUUGCUUAUGAUUAAUUUAUCUUUCUAUUCUGUUGUAUGCCUGAAGAAUCUAUGUUGGCAAUACAAGUCUCUUUUCAUUUCCGUGCAAAAUACACAGUGGAUGUUUUAUUGGCCUUGAAUGCCUUUAUUACUGUGGUGAGACAGUGUUCCCUCCUGGUGUUGGAUAUGCAGGUCAUUCACUGUCUGAGCUUGUAAGUACCAGGGUUGUGAAUGGUGCAGCUUUCUUGUUAGGGUGUUCCAAGCAGCACUGAACCCAAGGAUACUGGAGCUGAAGCUCCACAGCAGAUAACCAAAAGUAUUGAGCUUCACUUUGCAUUUAUGGUUGUUAGUAACCUCCUCCUCCCUGAUCACUACCCUACGCACAAAAUAAACAGCCCCCCUGCCCCCCAAACCUCAUCCAUCAGAAUGUGUUCUUUGGUUUUCAGCUGCUGGUGCAAAUGACUACAUUACUUUCCAGCUUUGUCUAGGCCAUGGGCCUGGUGAGGCCUUCCCAGCUUCUAAUUCAGUGUAAGCAGGCUCAAUUUUAGCUUCAGCUGUCUCAGUCAGGAGUCUGCCUAAGAAAUCCUCAUAGUCUCUGAAGGCACUGAGACAAGCGGGUUCUGGGUGCUGAAGACUUCCUGAAGCUUGCCAUCUUAGCAUGAUGGGACACAGCAUCAACGUUUUUGGCAGGCUUUUAUAAAGACUGCUUUCGUGCUGCUGAAUUUGAUCUCUAUCCCAAUUUAGGAGCUCUGCAAAGCAGAGGAUAAAUUAACUCCAAUUUUCUGUCUGCCUAAUAGUAGUAGAACAUUGUUCUUUAGUUUUACACUGCUGCUUGUUUCUGGUACAGCCUAAUCAUAAACUUUCCUUCACUGGAGGGAAAGACCUAACACCAGAGUCCUUCCUUUCCAGCACAAACCUAAGAGCAAGGCUCUUUAACUGAGGAGCUUCCCAUUUGGAAAGUCUCUCAGCAGCACCAAGAUCCUGUACCAGUAGAGAUGGGAAGGCUUUCUCUCAAAUUCCUGUUGCUAAUACAGAAGCUAUUUGUCAGGACCACUACUAGGAACAUCUUGGUUUUCCACCAAGACUUGGUAUAAUUACCUAUGGCUUAAGGUUAAUUCAAGGGGUUGAUACUGGGUCUGUUACGGAGGCUUGGAGUAGUAGGACUCUCAGUCUGUUUGCCUUUUUGGGGAAUGUCAAAAAUCAAGUUUUGCUCUUUACAGUAGCAUAAUUUCUUUUAUAUGUCAGUAAAAAAUAUCACAGUAUAUUGAUACAAUGAAAAUACAAGAAUAAUCUUCUGGUACUAAUCUGGUGAUAGGCUAAGCUGAAUGUUACUGAAUGGAGAUUUCUAGGUUGGAGAAAGAGACCCAAGUCUGUUCCCAAGUAAGCAUGUGUUUUUCCUAUUAACUUUGAGGGAAUUUCUUUGUGUGUGUUGUAAAAAAAAAAAAACCUGGAUGUAGAAGAUGGCAGUUGGAAUGCUAGUUAUUAGUUUGCAUUCAGCCCUGCAGUAAAUUGCAAUGUUUACACAGCAGUAUUCAUUUUCAAACUGCUACUGAAUAGUAAAUCUAGCAACACUUUUGUAGGAUUGGUCGGUAUUAUCUUCACCGUUUACAACUGCAAAAACUGUAGCAGAGCUAAUUUGUUCAAGAUGAUCGAAGUAAUCGGUGGCAAUGCUGUGAUUAAAAUGAUUAAGUCUGCAACUGCAUGUCUGUGUCUACAGCUGGAAGACUGUGUUUUUUAAACGGCUGCUCCUGAGGGUGGCAGUACCUUUGCACUUUCACAACUGAUGGAGCCAGAGAUAUAAAGGUCAGAUGCUCACAUAUGCCAUUUAGUGCCACCUUACCACUUAUGACUAAGACAUAGCACCUACAGUGGUUGUGCCUGGCAGGUUCACGAUCUUGGUUCUGUUUUUUUCAGUCUUACCUCUUUAUUAGCUGUUACUACAUUUGAUGUCUCAUGGUUACCGCUUUUAACUGCAUUUGGAUCCCUCUGUCACUGUUCAUACAUGCUACUUUGUAGUAAAACUUAUUUAUUGAAAUAUAUGACUUUGCGAUGUGUACUUUCAUGUACUAUAUCUUGGUCUACUUUUGUGUGAGAGUCUGCUGCUUCUCUGUUUUGAUGAUUUCCAUUUUUUUAUGACAAAAGUUCAAAUCUUUGAACAACUUUAAUCUGUUGUUAAUGGGAGUAUUAAAUACAAAUUGGCUGUAAUCCAGCGUAGGUAUUAGGAUUUUCGUAUCUUAUUGUUUUACUUGCCUUAUAAUUUGUUUUUAACUUUGUGCAUGAUCUGUGUCUUAAUUCCCCGAGGAUACUUCACUAAACAUAAAUGAAACUUGAUUUUUAUGCAGUCAUCAGGUUGAUCUGUCAUGGCCUAUGUUAGUAAGCCUACAUAUUCUCAUUUCUCACUUUUAUUUCUAGAUUUGUGCAUGGUUACAAAUGAGAUGAAUUGAGAGAACAACCAUUUUCCUUACGCCUUAGUAACUUUAUUAAAAAGUCAUGUAAAAUUAAUUGAAUAAGUUUUCUGUUGGUGUGACUCGUCAACAGCUCUUGCUGUUAUAACUUUGUCCUGACUAGCUCAAACUCAUUUUACUCUGACAUAACCAUCAGUUUUAAGUACAGUUACUGUCUUCAUCUUCUGGUUUAGAAGCUGUUUGAUAGUGAUCAGCUUAACCAGCUCAAAACUAGCACUGGUGCAUGUUACAUUCAUCUGCUUGGAAAACAGGCUGCUGAAAUCGUGUGUGGAAUCUUACUAGAUUAGUUGCUUUGACUAAUUUUUCUAAAAUAAGAGGCAAGAACUUGACAUCAUCUCUAAAUACGAAGAAACCCAAGACAAAAUACUUUUUCUACCAUAUGCAGGAAAAUGCAUAUUGAGCAAUGUAUGAACAAAUACACUACCUCCACCAUGGCAAUCAAAUUGCUUAUCUACCAGUUAAGUAAAUAUAGUCAAAGUUUGUUAGUCCAGAACAACGCAGUAAACAGCAUUGCUAGUUUCUGCCUCAUAUCACUGAAUCAUGAACAGUGAUUGCAAAAUCAGACCAGUCUUGCCAAAUAAAAAAGAAAUUCAGAAUGGGUAUACAGAAAAGGCUGCUUGAGACCUGUUUCUGUGUAGAAAACUUAAUUAUUUGUUUGUCUUUUUCCCCUUAGUUGAAAGAUCAGCAACAGCCCUUCCCCAGCCCCAAGACUGACUUUCCUCUGCAUCGCCUUAUGCAGAAUACUACUUUGC